rnacentral:rRNA from 1 species
UGGCCUUGACAUGCUGAGAACUUUCUAGAGAUAGAUUGGUGCCUUCGGGAACUCAGACACAGGUGCUGCAUGGCUGUCGUCAGCUCGUGUCGUGAGAUGUUGGGUUAAGUCCCGUAACGAGCGCAACCCUUGUCCUUAGUUACCAGCACGUAAUGGUGGGAACUCUAAGGAGACUGCCGGUGACAAACCGGAGGAAGGUGGGGAUGACGUCAAGCCAUCAUGGCCCUUACGGCCAGGGCUACACACGUGCUACAAUGGUCGGUACAAAGGGUUGCCAAACCGCGAGGUGGAGCUAAUCCCAUAAAACCGAUCGUAGUCCGGAUCGCAGUCUGCAACUCGACUGCGUGAAGUCGGAAUCGCUAGUAAUCGUGAAUCAGAAUGUCACGGUGAAUACGUUCCCGGGCCUUGUACACACCGCCCGUCACACCAUGGGAGUGGGUUGCACCAGAAGUAGCUAGUCUAACCGCAAGGGGGGCGGUUACCACGGUGUGAUUCAUGACUGGGGUGAAGUCGUAACAAGGUAGCCGUA